rnacentral:rRNA from 1 species
AGCGAACGCUGGCGGCAGGCCUAACACAUGCAAGUCGAACGAACCUUUCGGGGUUAGUGGCGGACGGGUGAGUAACACGUGGGAACGUGCCUUUAGGUUCGGAAUAACUCAGGGAAACUUGUGCUAAUACCGAAUGUGCCCUUCGGGGGAAAGAUUUAUCGCCUUUAGAGCGGCCCGCGUCUGAUUAGCUAGUUGGUUGAGGUAAUGGCUCACCAAGGCGACGAUCAGUAGCUGGUCUGAGAGGAUGAUCAGCCACAUUUGGACUGAGACACGGCCCAAACUCCUACGGGAGGCAGCAGUGGGGAAUCUUGCGCAAUGGGCGAAAGCCUGACGCAGCCAUGCCGCGUGAAUGAUGAAGGUCUUAGGAUUGUAAAAUUCUUUCACCGGGGACGAUAAUGACGGUACCCGGAGAAGAAGCCCCGGCUAACUUCGUG